GAAUAUUACAAACCACCAACGCAAACGACAAAUAGAGAGCAAGAGCCCAACAAAUUUUGACCACCGAGGAUUUAAUAUGAAAAUCGGUAACCUUCCUUACAGUCCAAAUCAAUUAAAAAAAAUAAUAAUGUUUGGUAAAAACUCGUCGUAGUAGCACAGUAACUUAAUUCACAGGGGUCAGGAAUAUAAAUUGGUCAAUGUGUGUACUUUAUGUAAUUGCGAUACAGGAAGAAGGAAAAAAAAUUUUCUCACUUAUUUAAUCACCGUUGUGUUUUCCUUGUGCUGCUUUUUUUUAUAAUUGGCUUACCUAGAGGAAUUAGUAAAAAUAGAGAUAAAUUCGGAAGUCCGAGGUGGCCGAGAUAUUUAUUUAUUUCACUUACUUAGCGGACAAAAUAAAAUCCUUCUCUAGUGCGCACGCGGAAAUUAGCUUACCAAGCAAAGUUGAUCACUAUUUCACCUAGCCGUCCCUUUCCAAAGUCCGAGUCGCAGGGGCAGCUAAAAAGCGCAACGCUGGAACUCUGGAUGGUCGGAUGAUAGAAAAAGUUGUAAUUGGAGGCACAUUGACUUCGGGUAAAACAGAUUCCGAAAUGGCGAGAGCAGCACUUUGCCAUCCGCCGGCUGCAACUGAAUAGCAAGUUCCUGAAAAGUGAAUUUGAUGUGGAAUGGAAACGAUGUUGCGUGCGGUGCGUGGAUCAGAAACAAUGCUGGGAUCAGAUGUCUGUUCUUGCAAAUGAAGAGAACCCAAACCUAAACACCCACAAUAACGUAAUUCAACACCCCACGACCAUAUGGAAUGAUCGCUUGUUAAGUAAAGAUGAUGAUGAUCGCCAUGCGCCAAUUGCUUAAUUCCUCGGUUCUGGAGAAAGUCGUGGAUAACCGGGUCAUCAUCGACCUGCUUGGUAUUAGCAUGACCCAUGUAAACAGUAUUGCCAUCGUCCGAUAAACAUGUGAAAGUUUCAAAGCUGCCUGCUAAAUGCCAACCUUGAUGGGGGUCGUGCGAAGCGAACCUCUUCAAUUCUCUUCCUAGCGUGUGUUGUGUAGCUUGGUCCAGGUCUAAACGAAACACGGCGCCUUUUUUCUGAGGUGAUGCGACAGUAUACACUAGGAAUCCUGCGCAGUGAACAUAAUCGUUCAGCACGAAUUCCUUCAUCGAUGCCUCUGGCUGGAAAAGUUGCGCUUCACUUUCUCGUCCAGUGUGCCAGACAAGAAAGCCAAUGCCCGGCACAUACGCCGAAUGCGAGUCCCAACCUGAUUUAAAAUUAGCAAUUCUUCCGCGAUAGGCUGAUAGCAUAUUUUGUUCAUCUGUCAAGCAAAUUCGUGUUUUUAGAGAUACUUGAUACAAGUGUCCCGUCUCACCGAGUGCAAGACAAAACUCUCGACCAGCAUGGAUUUUCACAAUUGGCUCUAAAUCUCUCAUCAAUUCGGGCCCAACAUUGUUUGGUACCCCCGUAACAUAUAAAUUUCCGUUUUCAUUUAAUAAAUACAUCCCAUAACCUCUAAAUUCCGCAUAGGGAAUAGUUAGUCAUUGUAGUGCAGUCAAAUAAAUUCCUGUAUCUAUGCGCUUACCCAACUUGAACCUGAAUAGUAGAACGAACGUCCUUCCCAGUCAAUGCACCAGGACGAUCUCGAGGAUACUGAUUUGUAUUGACGACGCGGCCCAAAUAGUUUCUUAUCUGUUGCCCCCAUGAGUAAGCGUAUCCUCGGUCUUUCCAUACAGCAUAGGGUCUUUUGUAAUUAUCAUCAACAACUGGGACUACAUUGGUGAGACCUUGGACCCGUGCACAAAAUCGAUGCCAAAUUGUUUUGUCGUCAAAAACAUACGAAAGUGACUUGCAUGUUUCUGACAAAUGAACUAUAUCUUUAUAAUCAAGAUAUGUACUAAUUUCUAGCAAUAUAUCGUAAGAAAGCUCCAGGAAUGGUGAUUUAGCCAUAAUGAAUCUCGCAUGGGUAGUAGUAUAUGAAUACCUCUGAAUAUAUACAAGGGAAACGGUGUUGAAAUACGUCAAAAGCACAUGUUUUCUGCAACUCUUAAUAACUAGAUACAAUUGUAUUAUUUACAAUUAAUAAAUGAUAAUAAAGAAA
rnacentral:lncRNA from 1 species